CGUCCCCCCGUCACGCUCAGUUCACGGGAGGAAGGGAGGAGGGGAGCACGUGUGAGAGAGCCACAAUCACCUCGCCACCUUAAUGAGUCACUUCUGGAAGGUCAUAAGAAUCAGUACUUCGUCUCCUCUUCACUUUAAACCCAUGGACGUGCGAUGGUGUCCUUGAAGUGACCUGAUCUGACCUUCACUCCCGGCCCGUCCCCGUCACUCCUUCACCCCUUCACCUGCUGCCUACGUCUGUGUCUCCUUCAGGUACUCGCCGCGGCCCAUCGAGUCACCAGUGCAGGUCAACAGGUGAUGGUGCGACGGUGGUGAAU